CCGCUGCAGGAUUCCGAGGAGCCCCAGUGCGCUCUCCUGGAUGCUGCUGCUAGUAUUCUCCAGCCCCAGUGACUUCCUUCUCCAGCAGACCCAGGGUAAGUACUUCAGGCUCGCCUCCUCUGUGAAAGUUGAGAGGUUUUCUGUUGUGGACACUUGGGGAGGAGACAAGGUGGAAAUCUAGGGUGGAAUCCUGGCUCCAGCACCAAUUGCUGAGUGCUCUUAAGGCAAGUCCUGUUCCUCUCUCAAGUUUCUCCUUGGAAAAUGGGGGAAACCCCAUUUGCUCCCGCCGAGCCUGGCAUAUGGUGUCUGACUGGGAGGAUAGGGGAUGCGAGGCGCAGAUUUAAGGUCCUUCUCCCCCAGCAGGCUGGGUCGCGGACUGUGUGUGGUCGCAGACUCUGGGGAUAGCUGGAGCUCAGUCGUGCCGUGUUUUCUUUGCUCUUUGGGGUCCGGCAGAUCGGCACUGACCUUGGAGGGGAGUGCUUGGCUGGCACGCGAGCAGGGAAGGGUCAUGCCUUCAGGUCGCGGGGCUCCGCGGAGAACCCUCCUGGAGGAGGCACCAUCGUGGGGGCUGAGGGCUGCUAGUGUGAAGCCUGCGGGGCGGCGCUCCCAGGGAGGCGCUGAGGAAAGGCAUGGGACAUGGGACUCAUGGCAGGCAGUUGGAGCCCCAGGCCCUGCUCAUCUCGGGAGAGCUCCGCGGGCGCGGUGACUCCUGGGCGUCUUGGGUCUUGAGGGCCGUGGGCGGGGGCGCGUGCAGCCCCUCUCUGCACACGCCCCUUCCGCGCCUCAACGACGCGUCGGAGCGCCGGGAAGGGCUCGGCCCCGAUGGGCGUCGGCAAUUGGUGGAGGGGCGGGUACAGGGGCGGGGCUGUCUGCGGAUUGGUCGGGCCCGGCGGGGGCGGGCCCGCGCAUGCACUUAAGGAACGGCGCCGCGGCCGAGGCGGGGCAGUGCCAAGAUGUCGGCGGCAGUCCCGGAGCUGAAGCAGAUCAGCCGGGUGGAGGCUAUGCGCCUGGGGCCGGGUUGGAGCCACUCGUGCCACGCCAUGCUGUACGCCGCCAACCCCGGGCAGCUCUUCGGCCGCAUCCCUAUGCGCUUCUCGGUGCUGAUGCAGAUGCGCUUCGACGGGCUGCUGGGUUUUCCCGGGGGCUUCGUGGACCGGCGCUUUUGGUCUCUGGAGGACGGUCUGAACCGGGUACUGGGCCUGGGCCUGGGCUGCCUGCGCCUCACGGAGGCUGACUACCUGAGCUCGCACCUGACCGAGGGCCCGCACCGCGUCGUGGCGCACCUGUACGCACGGCAGCUGACGCUGGAGCAGCUGCACGCCGUGGAAAUCAGCGCGGUGCAUUCGCGCGAUCACGGCCUGGAGGUGGGGCCGCCGCCCGGGCCCCGCCCCCCGCCCCGGGGUUUGGCUCUGGCCCCGUGGAAGGCACCGAUGGGUGCUGGGGCUUGUGCGAGUCCCACUUUACACCCAAAAGGACCGAGUCGGUGGCUUUCCCAACUUCCUGAGCAACGCCUUUACCAGCACCGCCAAGUACCAGUUGCUCUUUGCGCUCAAGGUGCUCAACAUGAUGCCGGAAGAGAAGCUGGCUGAGGCUUUGGCAGCUGCCACUGAGAAGCAAAAGAAAGCCCUGGAGAAACUCCUCCCGUCUUCCUCCUGAGCACAGGCUGCAGGCAGCUCCAGGACAUGGCAUAGAAGCACUGGCCAGGUGUACAGAAUGACAGCCGCAGAGCCACCACAGACACGAAGGUCACCACUGGCAGUCUCCUAUGGCCCGAUGUCCAGAAGGACACCUCCGUGAAGCUAACAAAGUUUCCACAGCACCUGCUCGGCCUGGUAAGGAAAGCUGUGCUCUGGCCCAGCCUGAGCGCCUGUUCCGCCUUAGAGCCUCGAUGAAGUGGCCAGCACGUGGGGGCAAAGGCACUUCAUUCUGUAAAUAAAAUACCUGUACCUUGUUCCUCUCUUACUUCCUUGGGGCUUGGGAGUGUGCGUCACUCUUCAGAUCGCUUUUGUGGACUGGAUGGGGCUGGGAGCAAGGGCAGCCGACAGAGGGCUACAGGGCACUGCCAGAGCAGGAGGGGGUCAGCUGGUCCGCCCUGCUCUGCACAUGGUGGUCUCUGUCCUGACAGAGGGGCCUUGGGUCCCAGGGGAAGUUGGGGUCUGAAGUUGGGGUCUCAGCCUGGCUUGCCCCUGGCCUCAGUCUGUCAGUCAGCAGUGUGUGUGGCGUGACCAGGAUGGAGCCGCUCACCAUCAGAGCUUACAUUUUAUUUUCCAGCAAAUGACAUAUGCUGUCCAGGUGCCUAGUCCUCUCCAUGGGGCACCUGUGGUGUACGGGGAUCUGCUCUCUCCCACCGUGGCCCUGUCCACUCUGGGCCUCACCCCCACGUUCUGGCCUACAGGCCCCCGUCCUGCUUCUGUGGGGGCCUCACUCCUCGCACCGGCCCCAGCCCUGUGCUGCUUCUGCUGGCUGCUCGGGAGGCUGGAUCCUCCGGCCCGCUGGGGCCCGGCCCGCCACAGCCGCUUGCUGUCCGCACUCCUGUCUUCCAGGCACACAGCUUCAGGGUGGAUCAGUCACCCAACGUCAGAUUCUGAGAAGGGAAAGGGAAGACUGAAGGGGGAGCUCACCGCUGCCCAGUGCGCCCUGCUCUCGCAGCCCGGGGCCUGGCCGGACGGACACUCACCGUCCCUCCCAGCUAAGGCUCCCGCCAGUUCUCCUUCCCGUUCAGCACUUGCAGCUUCUCCAAGCUCUGGGUCACUGAGCAUAGCACUCGCCCUGAGGAUGGGAGCAAUUAGUUACUGCUUUGCAAGUGUGAGAAGAAGGGGUAUGGGGGGUGGUGCCUAGGACUGCGUCACCAUGAGGGAUAGUGGGCUAGGGCAGGGCUGACCCAGGGGUUGCAGCUAACCAGGCAGGGCUCUCCCUAUUCACCCACUUUUGGCCCCUGGUGUGGGUGAGGCCACUGGCUGCCUUCCCAGAGACGCACCCAUUUCCUGGACUCGAUCCUCCAGUGCUCCUGACAGCUCAGGGAGGCUCAGAGUCUGCAGCGAGGCCUGCCAGCCGCUGGAAUCUGUGGAACAGAGCCAGGUAGGCCUAGGGUCGGUGUGGUCACCGCAGGUCCCGCCUCUGUCCUGAGCUGCUGUGACCAGGGGACCCACUCAGUUGUCGGUUCCUGCAUGACCGCCUUGUUACACCAAAACGUAUUGUCCCACUGUUGCUUCAAAGCACUAAUGGUCAGUCCGGGCCCUGCCCCAGGAAUGAAAGCGUGAGGGUCCCUGGCCUACAGUGAGGUUUUGUCCUGGGGUAGCCCCAGCUGUAGGCUGCAGAAGUCACCUGAGAUCCUGGAUAACACAGAUAGCCAGAGCCCAAGGGCUUUGCCUCCCACCAGGGGGAAGAAAUCGGGGAGAAAGGGUGCCCUCCCUCUAGAGUGUGGGAUGGUACAGAGAAGAGCAGCAGUGAGUGUGAUCACUGCUGGAACAGGUGGUUAACACUGGGCCUAGGGCAGCGUCUGUGUGAUCCGGGGCUGGACACUGUUCUUACCAGCUGUGGGGAGGAGGGCUCUGCCCAGGGGGGACCCUCGGGUGGACACCUCCUGCUUCACUCUGGCUGACAGCUCCGCUUGGCAGGCUCUGUCAGACACAAGACCAGGUGCUGGUGAGGAAGAGGCCUGGCAGUAGUGCCUGGCCCCAGAGAGUGGCAGACACCCCCAUCCCCAAUCUCCCCGUCAGGUGGGGCUCUGCCUUCGUUGCAGGCUCCCAAGGCCCGAGACACAGGCAGAGGAUGCAUUGCACACUGCGUGCAGGCUCUCGGGGCCCUAUGUGCUGCCUGGGUCUGCCCUGCAGAAAGGCAAAGCCAGAAUAACACGGAGGAGGGCAGUGAGUGAUCCCAAGAGACCCUAAAAUCAAGCCCUUGGUUGAAGAAUUUUCAGGCAUCGGUGACUCAGGGUCCAGCCUGGGCCUGGGGACCGCUCAGAUACCCACUCACCGCAGCUGCUCCAAGACAAGCGCGGCAUCCCGGGCGAGGGCCCAGGUCUCCUGCAGCUGGGCGUGCACGUCCUUCCGGGCACCGUCCUGCUCCAGGAGGCAGCUCUCCACCACGGCGCGCAGCUCCUGCUCCUGCGACACCUGGCCCCGCAUGGCCUCCACCUCCUCACAGCGCUGCGGUGGGAGAGGCCACCGUGAGGUGGGACACGGGGUGGGUAAGUGAGCCAGGGGGAUUCGAGGCCAGGGCCACUUGGGCUGGGUCCCCCCAACCCCGGUUCUCUUUCUGCCAUCUCUAUUGGUGCUCAACUCCCGCUCUCCUGGGCUAGAGGAAGGGGAUGCCUGUCUCCAGAUGGAGUCGCCUCUGCUUUGGGUCCCUUCCCUCAAAGGCUGUGGCGUCUGCGCCGGCUGCUCGUCCUCUGCCCUCCCGCUUUAUCUUCUGUGUCCCUCUGAGCUCCAGCCUCUGGGUCUCCUCUUUGGCACAGGAGCGGUAAUGCUUUCUGCUCUUCCUGUCCCGCUGCCUGUCCCGGCUGCUUCUCCCUGCUGACCCUGGGUAAGCGUCCCCACUGCUGGCUCUCCAACUCUGCAGGUGUGUCUGCCCGGCGUCUCCCCCGCUCGCCACCUACCUUGUGCAGCUGGAUGGCGAGCUCCUGCAUCUCUGCUUCGAGCCGGUCAGCAUAGGCCAGUUCUAGGGCAUCGCUGGGGGGACGGGCGCUGCUGUGCCAGCGGGCGAUGGCAGAGGUCAUCUUCCUCUUCGGCCCAAACAAGCUGUAGGGGUGAAGGAGAGAGGUGUACAGAUCUGCGGUGCGUACAGGGGUGCCAUGGACCGUCCUUCCACCAAGACGGUCCCUCCCCUAGGAAAGGUCCCAGCUUUGAAGGGGGAGAGUGGCCCCCAGGAUCCUGGGACAGAUGACAGAAACAAAGGGUUCUCUGAAGUGACCCCGGUUAGGGCUGGCCUCCCCUGCCUGCUUCCUCUCCCUGCCUGGCUGCUGCUUUCACUCAACAGGGAGCUCAGGCCAGCUGGGGCCAGGCCGUGCAUGGUCUCCCACCAACUUGGGAAGCUCUCAGAAGUGGACAGCAAAAGUCCGGAUGCCCUUACCACAGCAGCGGCAGCGGGCCAGCCUGCGGGCCGGAGAGGCCAGCUGGCUGCAGAAGCGAGGCGGCUCGUUCCACCCCAACGCGGGGACGUUGGGAGCUAAGCUAGCCCCUUCGGGCUGGGGGAAACAAGGGGCCCGCGGCCACGAAGGGCCCCUCUGCACUCACGUGAUGCCGAUUUCCUUCAGGUCGCUCUCCGUGAGGGUCAGGAAGAUGCGGAGGUCCACGUCCUGCUCCUCGAACACCUGCAGGUACUUCCGACACCCGAUCUGAUCCAGCAGCGUGGCGAGGUCCUGGGGGGCAAAGGAGCCAGGGUGGGUCAGAGGACGGGUGGGGCCCCGAGACUUGAGGGCCUACUAAUGCACUGCUGCAGCACAGAGCCCUUCCUGGCAAGCGUGCCUUCCUGACAUGGGUGUAAGUCUGUCAGUUCCCCAGUGGGAUGGUACUGCCUCGCCAGGAGCUCCAGCCCCCUUUCCCCUCCCCCACCAGUACCACCAGGCAGAGUAGGCUGUCCAGACCACCUCAGCCUGGACAGCCUUAGUGUUGCUUGGAGGGUGGGUCCAGUAGCAACAAACUCUUAGUCUGUUUCCUUGCGACUGUCUUAAUUUCUCCUUCGCUUGUGAAGGAUAGUUUUUGCUUGGAUAUAGCAUUUCUGCUUGAGGUUUUUGUUUUUGUUUUGUUUUGUUUUUUCUUAUUACUUUGACUAGGUCAUCAGAUGUCUUCUGGUUUCUGAUGGGAAAUUAGUGGGUAAUCUUAGGAGAGUUCCUUUUGUGUAAGAGACUCACUUCUGUCUUGUUCCCUUCAAAAUUCUCCUUUUGCUUCUGGGCAGUUUCAUUACUUAAGGUCUAGCUAUGGAUCGGAGUUCAGCCCACUUAGGGCUCACGCAGCCUCCCUCCCUGCACUGGCUGUCUUCCUGUGGAGGCUCUGGAGACGGAAUUCUCCCUCUCCGCAGUCUGUCGCUGCUGCUUGGUGCAGACAUUAUUUAGUGCCUUUUCUGUAAAGUCUGUGCUCCUUCUCUCAUGUGGCCAUAGAAGUCUCUCCUUGGCUAGCGUAGUGGUCAGCUAAGGACUGGACAGAUUUCCUUAAGCAUCAGAGACGAAUCAGUCUCCCCCCUUUGCUGCAUAGCUCUGUAGGCUUGGAACACAGCUUCAAUACCCAGCUGGGCAGAUGACAGUCCUCCCCUAGCCUUCCCUUCCAGCCAUCAGAUGCAUUCUCACAUCUUUCCCGGCCAUACACGGAGCACAUCCCUGAGCAUGUCUGUGGCCUCCCAGAUCCCUAGGACUCUGUCAGAGCUCUACAAAGCUCCUGUGGACAUCUCAUUCCCUACCUUUCCUUUUCAGCUUUGUGAUUAAUCUUCUUUGCCCCAACUAUUAUCCAGCACCUCAGGUAGCUGCAAAGUUAAAACACGUGCCUAUAAUUAUUUUCAGCACACUUUCUGCCAGGAGAGGGCUUCUGCAUUGGGUAGACAAGGUGCCAGUGAAGUCAGAUACAGUUCUGUAAGCUAGGGAGUCGUCCCAUGCAGCCAAAAAUGCUGACUCUUUCAGAAAGAAACCCUGGGGAGCCCCUGGCGUGGCUGUCACAGUGACCCGAGCCCUGCGGAGGGAGCGUGGGGCGCAGGCACAUCAGCUGCUUCUCCUGAAUCAACAUUUCCAAAUUGCUCCAAGCUUCUGGGUGAUUCAGAGUUUUGAAAAAAGUUAUUCUGACUACCUCUGCCAGUUUAUUGCCUUUGAUGGAGGAGCCAUCUUUCAAAGGAAUUGAAAGAUGUAGCUGUUCACUGAGCCCGGAAACAAGGCCCCGGAGAGAGCUCCCUGGAGGGGCCACACAGAGAAGCCGGCGAAACUGCGGCUUCCAGUGAACAGCAGAGCUGUGACCUUAAUAAAUGGUGAAAAUGUA